AAGAGAAUGAAGUUCUAAGAAAAGCUGCUAACUAAGUCUUAAACGGUUAAACUCCGUUAUUCUCUUA
rnacentral:tRNA from 1 species